CUCAUCUCCCCCUCCAGAAGCCUCCCCGUCGCCGCUCGCCCACGGGAGCACUGUGGCCGACAGCGCAUUAAUGGCGCCCGGCCUCUUCCUCUGCCCUUCCAUUGGCUCCUGCUGCCCCGUGCACUCUGUAGCUUGUCCGCGUUCUCCCUCGUCGCGUUCCCGCGCCUCCCCGUGAUCGCUGCCAUAGCCAGGGACUCGGCCGGACGUGCCCGGCGGCACCCGAGCCCGUGCCUCUCGCUCCAGCUAUUUAUAGCCCCUCCCCUGGCCUCCCGAGCAUCACCGCGACCUCUACCCACUCCCCCACGACUCCCUGCCCACUAGCCCGAGCUCCAGAAGCUCUCCUCAACCCCCAUAGCCGCCACCUCAGCUCGGCUAAAUUAGCCCGAAGCCGAGCCUCCCCCUCCUCUUCUCCACCACCAGCGACCUCCAUCACCACCUCGGAGCCACCCUAACACCUCAUCCCCUCCUCCGGUGGCCUCUAGCCGCAACCCAUCACCGCCCGGAGCCGCCGUCCACUGCAGCCGCAACCUUGCUCGACGCCGUCCUCCCCGUGGUGUGUAGACGCUCCAGGCGGGUGCGGCUCAUCUCCCUAAGCACGUCGAUAUGCUGCACGGCUCGGGGGAUGGCUGAAGUCGGCCAGGCAAGCGCCGGUGCCGGAGGCCUCUCUCUGGACCGCGGGCGAGGUCGGGGAGAAGAUGAAGGCGAUGACCUCUCCCCUCUAGCUGGCUGUGGACCCUGCGGGCCCCAGGCGUGAGCGACCCAGAGGCCGGCCCCGCCCCGCCGAUGUGGAUAUGUGGACACGGCUUUUGCCGUCUAUGCUUUCAUCCACCGAAAGCAUAUUUCCUCGAGUAUUGCAGGUGAUGCCGUGAUUUCUUGAUUGCUUGUUGUGGCUUCCGUUCGUGCGAGCUAGAUCAUGUCCCAGCCAGAGUCCCUGCGGAGUGUAGUUCACCACCUUCCUCGUUGUUCCACUGCUAGAAGAUUUCCGCUGCUUUGAGUUGUUCCGCUGCUAGCAUAGAGCAAGUGUAGUACCGCAGGCGUAGUGUCUCUAUGCUGAUGUGAUUCAUUGUAACAUCAGACCCUGUAUUAUUAUUCUUUAAUAAGAGAUGAUUUGUUCUAUA